rnacentral:rRNA from 1 species
UCCUACGGGAGGCUGCAGUGGGGAAUAUUGGACAAUGGGGGCAACCCUGAUCCAGCCAUGCCGCGUGAGUGAUGAAGGCCCUAGGGUUGUAAAGCUCUUUUGUGCGGGAAGAUAAUGACGGUACCGCAAGAAUAAGCCCCGGCUAACUUCGUGCCAGCAGCCGCGGUAAUACGAAGGGGGCUAGCGUUGCUCGGAAUCACUGGGCGUAAAGGGUGCGUAGGCGGAUCUUUAAGUCAGAGGUGAAAGCCUGGAGCUAAACGCCAGAACUGCCUUUGAUACUGAGGAUCUCGAGUGCGGGAGAGGUGAGUGGAACUGCGAGUGUAGAGGUGAAAUUCGUAGAUAUUCGCAAGAACACCAGUGGCGAAGGCGGCUCACUGGCCCGAUACUGACGCUGAGGCACGAAAGCGUGGGGAGCAAACAGGAUUAGAUACCCCGGUAGUCU